UCCCAACCUUCCCUGUCCCUCUCUGUCCCUCUGUCCCUGUCUGUCCCUUCCUGUCUGUCCUUUCCCUGUCCUGUCUGUCCUGCCUGUCCCUCUCUGUCCCCCCGUCCCCUCUGUCCCACCUAUCCCCUCUGUCCCUUCCUGUCCCACUUGUCCCUUCCUGUCCCCUCUGUCCCUCCCUGUCCCUCCCUGUCGCACCUGUCCCUCUCUGUCCUCUCUGUCCCUUGUCUGUCCUGCCUGUCCCUCUCUGUCCCCUCUGUCCCUGCCUGUCCCACUUGUCCCUUCCUGUCCCCCCUUGUCCGUCUCCAUCCCUCUCCUGCUUUCCUGUCCCACCUGUCGCCUCUGUCCCUUCCCUGUCCCCUCCUGUUCCCCCCUUGUCCCUGUCCAUCCCUGCCUGUCCCUCCCCUCCUCGGCCUGAGCUCCCCCUCGAGCCCCCCGAUCCCCCCGACCCCCCUCGAGCCCCCCGUGCCCCCCGAGCCCCCCGUGUCCCCCGUGUCCCCCGUGUCCCUCACCACGUUCUCGGGGCUGGGUCUCUCGGGGCUGAUCUGGAUCCACUCGAUGCCCACGCCCUGCGGUCCGUUGUCCUCGGGCUCCAGGACAUACGGA
rnacentral:lncRNA from 1 species